GUUCAGAAGGAAGUCAGAAACACACCUCCCCUUCCACUUCCACUUCCACUUCCACCGACGAGAGCGACGCGGCGGCGCGGCGCCGGCUGCCCACACCACACACUCCUCCCUGCUCCUCUUCCUCCUCCCCGCAUCCGCCAUGGCCCAUGGCCAAUCCCUUGCCCAGUUGCCCCCGUGCCUCGCCGUCCCGCUCGCCCGCGUCCGGGAAGCCAUCGUCGGAGGGGGGGUAACUCAAUGCGACAUAGGUAGAUCUGCAGGCGCCGUGCUGGGACUACGAGGAGACGGCCGCGGCGGCGGCCACCUUUGCCCCGCCUCGACGGGGAACCUGCUCUACGUCUUCUCCAGAUUGGCUCAUCCUGCUGCAACAGUUGCAUUCACCAUGAAGCCACAAUACCUCCUACGCCGUGAAUCCUCCUACUAUGCCUAGCCUAUAGCAGAAUGCAGGAUUAGCUUUUCUUGAUGGAAGUAUUUUAAACUCUGAAAGCUUGAAUACUUGCGUGGUAAUCACAGAACUACUUGGCUACUACACUGGCUGUUCUCCCUCAAGACAUAAAAGGUUAGGGUUCGUGCAUUGUAAUCCUAUGUUUUUAGUUACAGAAACUUUCCUUUUUAAUUGCCAUAAUUUUACUUACAAGAAGCUGGUGCACAUAGGAUUUUGUAUGAACUGUGCAGAAAACUGAAAGGCACUCUUCGAAAAGUGAAACUGUCCUCGAAAAACAAGUCUGAUGGAAAUAACCUAUCCUAUAAAUCUGAUUACCUGGAAUAGUUAGCAUCAAACGCUAUGCCUUAUUACUCAAGAGAGGUUAAAGCAAAUAAUAGGGUAAUGCACUAAUGUACUAGUCUUUCAGAGAGUAAUUAACCUAGAGAAAAGAUGACAGGUUGAGUUGUUCAAGAACUGUAAAGUAGAGAAUAUUAAUGUAGUUCCUCAUGAGUUAUCUUUUUGAAAGGGAAGCAAUCUGGUUGCUCUCUCACUGCUCUGAGAAUAAAGUUUCAAUUAGCUUGUUUGUUCAUUAGGAAAAGAAAAGGAAUGAAAAGAGUAGGCUCCAACCAAAUUA